rnacentral:rRNA from 1 species
UACGUAGGGGGCAAGCGUUGUCCGGAUUUAUUGGGCGUAAAGAGCGUGUAGGCGGCCAUACAGGUCAGCUGUGAAAACUCGAGGCUCAACCUCGAGACGUCGGUUGAAACCGUAUGGCUAGAGUCCGGAAGAGGAGAGUGGAAUUCCCGGUGUAGCGGUGAAAUGCGCAGAUAUCGGGAAGAACACCCGUGGCGAAGGCGGCUCUCUGGGACGGUACUGACGCUGAGACGCGAAAGCGUGGGGGGCGAACAGG